rnacentral:rRNA from 1 species
AGGCAGACGGCUCAGUAACGCGUAGUCAACCUAACCUAUGGACGGGAAUAACCUCGGGAAACUGAGAAUAAUGCCCGAUAGAACACUAUACCUGGAAUGGUUUGUGUUCCAAAUGAUUUAUCGCCGUAGGAUGGGACUGCGGCCUAUCAGUUUGUUGGUGAGGUAAUGGCCCACCAAGACUAUUACAGGUACGGGCUCUGAGAGGAGUAGCCCGGAGAUGGGUACUGAGACACGGACCCAGGCCCUAUGGGGCGCAGCAGGCGAGAAAACUUUGCAAUGUGCGAAAGCACGACAAGGUUAAUCCGAGUGGUUUGUGCUAAACGAACCUUUUGUCGGUCCUAGAAACACCGAUGAAUAAGGGGUGGGCAAGUUCUGGUGUCAGCCGCCGCGGUAAAACCAGCACCUCAAGUGGUCAGGAUGAUUAUUGGGCCUAAAGCAUCCGUAGCCGGCUCUGUAAGUUUUCGGUCAAAUCUGUACGCUCAACGUACAGGCUGCCGGGAAUACUGCAGAGCUAGGGAGUGGGAGAGGUAGACGGUACUCGGUAGGAAGGGGUAAAAUCCUUUGAUCUAUUGAUGACCACCUGUGGCGAAGGCGGUCUACCAGAACACGUCCGACGGUGAGGGAUGAAAGCUGGGGGAGCAAACCGGAUUAGAUACCCGGGUAGUCCCAGCUGUAAACUAUGCAAACUCAGUGAUGCAUUGGCUUGUGGCCAAUGCAGUGCUGCAGGGAAGCCGUUAAGUUUGCCGCCUGGGAAGUACGUACGCAAGUAUGAAACUUAAAGGAAUUGGCGGGGGAGCACCACAAGGGGUGAAGCCUGCGGUUCAAUUGGAUUCAACGCCGGA